AAAAUGACUCUCGGCAACGGAUAUCUCGGCUCUCGCAUCGAUGAAGAACGUAGCGAAAUGCGAUACUUGGUGUGAAUUGCAGAAUCCCGUGAACCAUCGGGUCUUUGAACGCAAGUUGCGCCCAAAGCCUUUUGGUUGAGGGCACGUCUGCCUGGGU
rnacentral:rRNA from 1 species